GUUAGGAAUAUUCGUCAAUGGAGGAAACUCUGAACGAGCAAUGCCGCGUGAAGGAUGAAGGUCCUAUGGAUUGUAAACUUCUGUUGUUAGGGAAGAACGACUUAAGUAGGAAAUGACUUAAGAGUGACGGUACCUUUCAAGAAAGCUCCGGCUAACUACGUGCCAGCAGCCGCGGUAAUACGUAGGGAGCAAGCGUUAUCCGGAUUUAUUGGGUGUAAAGGGUACGUAGGCGGCCUCAUAAGUCUGUGGUUUAAGCCCGAAGCUUAACUUCGGUUCGCCACAGAAACUGUUUGGCUUGAGUAUGGUAGAGGCAAGUGGAAUUUCUAGUGUAGCGGUUAAAUGCGUAGAUAUUAGAAGGAACACCAGUGGCGAAGGCGACUUGCUGGGCCAUUACUGACGCUGAGGUACGAAAGCGUGGGGAGCAAAUAGGAUUAGAAACCCUUGUAGUCC
rnacentral:rRNA from 1 species